GUCUACAGCCAUACCACCCUGAACAAGCCUGAUCCCAUCUGAUCUCAGAAGCUAAGCAGGGUCGGGCCUGGUUAGUACUUGGAUGGGAGACCACCUAGGAAGACCAGGUGCUGUAGGCA
rnacentral:rRNA from 1 species